UAACCUGCCCAAGAGAUCGGGAUAACACCUGGAAACAGAUGCUAAUACCGGAUAACAACAGAUGAUGCCUAUCAACUGUUUAAAAGAUGUUCUGCUAUCACUCUUGGAUGGACCUGCGGUGCAUUAGCUAGUUGGUAGGGUAACGGCCUACCAAGGCGAUGAUGCAUAGCCGAGUUGAGAGACUGAUCGGCCACAUUGGGACUGAGACACGGCCCAAACUCCUACGGGAGGCAGCAGCC
rnacentral:rRNA from 1 species